rfam:Macrostomum lignano uti_cns_0009371, whole genome shotgun sequence.
AAAACGGCCCUUUUAAGGGCCAUUGACCAUUACUACAUUACCACCU